rnacentral:rRNA from 1 species
GACGAACGCUGGCGGCGUGCUUAAUACAUGCAAGUCGAACGGAAAGGCCCUGCUUUUGUGGGGUGCUCGAGAGGCGAACGCGUGAGUAACACGUGAGUAACCCGCCCUUGUCUUUGGGAUAACUUCAGGAAACUGGGGCUAAUACCGGAUAGGAGCUCCUGCUGCAUGGUGGGGGUUGGAAAGUUUCGGCGGUUGGGGAUGGACUCGCGGCUUAUCAGCUGGUUGGUGGGGUAGUGGCUUACCAAGGCUUUGACGGGUAGCCGGCCUGAGAGGGUGACCGGCCACAUUGGGACUGAGAUACGGCCCAGACUCCUACGGGAGGCAGCAGUGGGGAAUAUUGCACAAUGGGCGGAAGCCUGAUGCAGCAACGCCGCGUGCGGGAUGACGGCCUUCGGGUUGUAAACCGCUUUCGCCUGUGACGAAGCGUGAGUGACGGUAAUGGGUAAAGAAGCACCGGCUAACUACGUG